rnacentral:miRNA from 1 species
UGGCGCGCGAGGGAGGGCGGGAAGGGGAAAGAAGCGGAGUCUCCUCCUUCUUUCUUUCCCCUUCCCGCCCUCCCUCGCGCGCCGCCGUUCGCGCC